GUUGGAAAGGACCUUAAAGAUCAUUAUUUAGAUUAGAAAUAAAGAUUAUUAUUUAAAACAUCUCAGUGAUGGUCUGGUGAUGCCAGCACUACCUGGGCUUUGCUGGCAUGGCCAUGAGCCCAGUGCUGUGUCCCUGCUCAGCCAUGGCCUGGAGUCCCUUGGGAGCAGGGGGAGAUCCUGCUGGAGCUCAUCUCCAUCCCACACACAUCCCUCAGCAUCUCCCCACCUUCUGGUUUCUGGGCUGGUCCCUGGGCUGCAGGAUAAGCUCCACUUCCCACCCCCAGGCUCGGCAGGGCUCAGCUGAGCAGACUGGAAGGGGUGGACGUGCUCCUAAAAUUAACCUGCAGAAACGGAUCUGAUAGGACACCGAGAGCUAAAGCGGAAUCAAAUUAUCCUUUGGAAUUACCAUGAGAUAAUUGGCCUCAUUUACUAUUUUAAGAUAAAAAAAAGGCUCCCUCUUCCAGGCAACUGCAAUGGAGAAAUAUUCAGGCAUAGAAGAUGUCCCAAAACAUAUAAUUAAAGCUUUAAAUAAAUGUAUGAUGACAUCUUAUGUUAAAAAAGACUUCCUUUGUAUCUCAGCCAGGAACCAGCCAGGUCGUUUUCAAAGUCAUUUUUUAAUAAACAGAAAGAUAUUUCUCCUGUUUUUCUAGACAGGCAGUGUAAAAUAUUUGGAGAUGUAAGUAUGUAAUUUGAAUUCUUUCACAUAUUAUUAAUUUAAAAAUCAUCUUCCUUAGAGAUGCCUGUGACUUGCCAAAAGGUAAAUGCCUCUGCCUGCUGCUUUUUGUCUUUUUUACUCUGCUUGAAAUGCUACAGAACUGACACAGUCCCACCCUGCAGAUCAGAAUGUUUGUAAGAGGCAGAUAGAGAUGAGAACGAGCCCUUUCUCACUCUCUCAUCAAUUACAAGGAUUAAACACCAAGGCAGCUCCUCAACAUUAUAAAGAAAACAAAAAUAGGAAUUGGAGGAGCCAAGUUCUGCAUUUGCUGCUUCCCUAUCACGAUGUGUCUGAGCACCCCUUGGCACGGGAAUGCCAGAGGGACAGCCAUGGUUCCUGUCCUCUUCCUGAUCCAGCUGGUCUGGUUGGGGCUCAGAUGACCAGGUCCAGCUGGAAAAAGAGGCAAAGCCACAGCCUGGAUCCUCCCAGGGAAGAACCAGGCGGAUUUGCAGCUCGUCUGGAAUGUGAGUUCAUGUCUGAGGGCUGUGCUGUGUCCCUGACCCCGAGAUGCUGAUGGUUUUGGCUGCUCGCUGGGCUGUCCCUGUGUGUCCAGCUGCUCCUCCCCAUCCUCCUCGGGGCUGUGGGUGCAAAUCCCAUCUGGAGCCUGGCGGGAGGCCCUCUGGAGCCAGCCUGUUCCUGCACACCCUUUCCACCCAGAAGGUGAUUUGGGAGAUGCAGCUGCUAGCUCGGACUCCUGCUCAGCCAUUUCAUCCCACCCAGAUUUUUGGCAAGGGAGAGCAGAGAUGUGCUGGCUGCUGCACUCGGGGCUUGGGGAGGUCCCCAAGACCCUCAGGGGGUGUAAUUUCUCCUUUUCCUUUUGCUCUUGGGGCUGAAGUGUUGGUUACAAUACAAAAGAAAAGCCCUAGAGACCUUCAUAGGGCAAUCAAUACUUCUCCACUUGUGCUGGAGAUUAAUGUUCUGGGAGAGGAAGCCUGUUUGCUCCAGAGUGUUUUUUUGGUACCAAAAAUCCAAUUAUAAGGUAUAAAAGGAAGUGUUUAGAACCAUGCAAAAUGGGCAUGAGGCCUGAAGCCUCCUUUGCUGCAGGACAGGGAAGGCAGAAGUUAAGAGGUGCCCCAGGUGCAACUCUGACACUUCCCUGUCUGAGCUGCCAGGCCCUGGCAGCAGCUCCUGUCACCUCCUGGUUUCAUUUCCCUCCUCCCCUCCACCUCUCCUGGCUGCUCCUCAAGGCUCAUCCCCUUGUCCUCAGCAUCAGCUGCUCUGGGCUCAGGAGGCUGGGUGGUUCCUCUCCUUCUUGGCAAUCAGUUUUUGCUCUGCUCAGCACAAACCAGAUGAAACCACCUUCCUGGUCCAGGACAGUGGAAAAGUUUCUAGGCUCGACCCUGACAUCAGACCAUCCUGACCCAGGAGGGACAACAGAGAUGGUGACCAAGCCAUGAAACCCUUGCCUGGUGCUUGGGGUGCCAGAAGGCUCCAGCUGCCCUCCCUGUGCUUCACAAGUACCUGCUCCUCUGAAGUCCAGAUGAUGGACACCAACCCUUGGAGCCCAAAAAAAGAUGUUUGUAGGAAAUUACAUGGAGAAAAAGCUCUACUUCAGGAAAAGCCCAAAGGAAAAUGGAAUGAAAAGAAGGAGUGGAUUCUCCUGAGUCUUGGAGGUCUUCUGGAAGUCUUCCUGGCAGGAUGUGUUUCAGCAGUGUGGAAAGGUUGGGAGCCUGGGAGGAUGCUCACCGGGAAUGCUGAGGACUCCAGAGGUUCAGAAGGUCUCCUGCAGAUAUAAAUGAGCACAGCUGCUUGGACACUUUUCAACUGAUCAUCUUUUAAUGAAGGGAGCACUGCUUGGUUUAUGGAGGAGUGAAGUCCCAGGCAGGUUGCUCUCUUCAGCCUAGAAUGAUCAUUCUGUGGCAGAGGAAAACAGGCAGCAGACUGAGACAUGGAUGAAGCAAUGAAUUAAUCUCUCUGCAGUGUAACCAGAUAGUGCCACCCAGCCUGAUCCCUCCCAGGCAGAAAAGCUCCAGUCCCACCCAGGCAGGCUCUGUGGUUCCAGACAGGAUGACAACAGUGUCCUCACUGGGCUGCUCCCAGCUGCUGGACUUGGCCUUCAGGGUGCCUGAGUUCGGGCCAUCAACUUUCAGGCCCUGCACUGCCUGCUCCAGGCUUUGCUGGGAGACCUGCAGGACCUGCCAGGCCAGCCUCCCCAGCUCACUUCUGUGGCCAUGGAUGUGGGACAGAGGAAAGAGAAAAUGUGAAAGAGCAGCGUGAUCCAGAUAGGAACUCUGGCUUCUGCCCUGCCUGAACCCCCUCCUCUGGGCUCUGCAGGACCCCUGUGCUGCCCUUAGGCCAAGGUCUGGUUUAAGCCAAGCUCCCAGCAGCACACGGGUCCAGGAUCCUCCGGCACGCAGACCCCAACAACAGGGACACAGAGAACCAGUGGCCCCUGAGAAGUGGGCAGGUGCAUCCUCACGUGGGACAAGGACUGGUGAUGCCACCGCCCUGAGGAUGCAGCCAGUGCCCUGGGUGUUAAGACCAGAACCAUGGAGAUGAAGCCAGGGUCCUCCAGCACCCAGGCCAGCCCUGUGGGGGCACAGCCAGGGCCCCCAGCACCCAAGGUGUUCAUAGCAGUUUGGAGGCUGAGGGGAGACCUCAUCAGUCGCUACAACUACCCUGCCUGCAGCUCCUGAAAGGCAGGCAGUAUUGGGAAGCUUUUGAACUUCUGCAUCAUGUUUCUGCUGUAAUGUGUUUUUCUUCAUGACAUUGACCGUUUUUUUUCUCCAGCUUUUUUUUUGUACAUUCAAAAUCGUGCCUGUUCAUGAAAACUUUUUCCUAGGCUGAUUUUGAGUGUCAUCAAAGACGCUGGCACCAGUUUUUCCUGGGAGUCACAGUCACUCCCACUGCUCACCCACACUUAACUGAAUUUCUUCACUUUGAUGUUCAGAGCAGUGGGCAGGAAUCUCAUCGUGUCCACACCCGCCACGGGCCUUCCUGAUGCUUUGUUUGAAUUAAACAGUUGGAUUCCCCUGGUCUGCACCAGGGGGGUAUCAAGGACCAACAAGAAGUGUUUCUUUCAGAAUACCCAUUAAAAAAAAAAAGGGAGCCUAGUGGAAAUGUGGGCUUGCUGGUGAAUGAGGUGGGUGACCCAGGGGCAGAAGACAUAGAGUUACUGAAUGCCUUCUUUGCUUUAGUCUUCACUGCUCAUUAUAAUGUCAUCAUAAUGCUAAAAACCACACCCCCAGGUCAAAAAGACCCCCUGCCCAGGUAAAGACCCUUGCACUGAUCAUGCAAGAGACCAGAAAAAGUGCUGUAACUACAUAUAAAUCACUAACCAAUCACUGUAAGAAGGGUGGACUUAGUAACUAUAGUUUUGUGUAUAAAUAUGUCAUGAAAAAUCUGAGUUUGUGUGUUUGAUUUGUGGGAAGACGCCAAGCACACAGCUUUGUACAAACCUGCAAUAAAUAACAGUGUCUCCUUCCUAGA